AUUGAACGCUGGCGGCAGGCCUAACACAUGCAAGUCGAGCGAGCGGCGGACGGGUGAGUAAUGUCUGGGAAACUGCCUGAGGGAGGGGGAUAAAUACUGGAAACGGUAGCUAAUACCGCAUACCAUCAGAUGUGCCACGCUGGGAUUAGCUAGUAGGUGGGGUAACGCCUCAACUAGGCGACGAUCCCUAGCUGGUCUGAGAGGAUGACCAGCCACAUCGUAACUGAGCCACGGUCCAGCCUCCUACGUGAGGCAGCGGUGGGGAAUAUGUCACAUAGGGCGCAAGCCUGAUGCAGCCAUGCCGCGUGUGUGAAGAUGUCCUUCGGGUUGUAAAGCACGUUCAGCGGGGAGGCGGUACCCGCAGAAGAAGCACCGGCUAACUCCGUGCCAGCAGCCGCGGUAAUAC
rnacentral:rRNA from 1 species